rnacentral:rRNA from 1 species
GUGCCAGCCGCCGCGGUAAGACGAACCGUGCGAACGUUGUUCGGAAUCACUGGGCUUAAAGGGCGCGUAGGCGGGCAGACAAGUCCGGGGUGAAAUCUUUCGGCUCAACCGGAAAAUUGCCUUGGAUACUGUCUGUCUCGAGGGAGGUAGGGGCAUGUGGAACUUCCGGUGGAGCGGUGAAAUGCGUUGAUAUCGGAAGGAACUCCGGUGGCGAAAGCGACGUGCUGGACCUCUUCUGACGCUGAGGCGCGAAAGCUAGGGGAGCAAACGGGAUUAGAAACCCGCGUAGUCC